ACGCUGGCGGCAGGCCUAACACAUGCAAGUCGAGCGGUAGAGAGAAGCUUGCUUCUCUUGAGAGCGGCGGACGGGUGAGUAAUGCCUAGGAAUCUGCCUGGUAGUGGGGGAUAACGUUCGGAAACGGACGCUAAUACCGCAUACGUCCUACGGGAGAAAGCAGGGGACCUUCGGGCCUUGCGCUAUCAGAUGAGCCUAGGUCGGAUUAGCUAGUUGGUGGGGUAAUGGCUCACCAAGGCGACGAUCCGUAACUGGUCUGAGAGGAUGAUCAGUCACACUGGAACUGAGACACGGUCCAGACUCCUACGGGAGGCAGCAGUGGGGAAUAUUGGACAAUGGGCGAAAGCCUGAUCCAGCCAUGCCGCGUGUGUGAAGAAGGUCUUCGGAUUGUAAAGCACUUUAAGUUGGGAGGAAGGGCAGUAAAUUAAUACUUUGCUGUUUUGACGUUACCGACAGAAUAAGCACCGGCUAACUCUGUGCCAGCAGCCGCGGUAAUACAGAGGGUGCAAGCGUUAAUCGGAAUUACUGGGCGUAAAGCGCGCGUAGGUGGUUCGUUAAGUUGGAUGUGAAAUCCCCGGGCUCAACCUGGGAACUGCAUUCAAAACUGACGAGCUAGAGUAUGGUAGAGGGUGGUGGAAUUUCCUGUGUAGCGGUGAAAUGCGUAGAUAUAGGAAGGAACACCAGGGCGAAGGCGACCACCUGGACUGAUACUGACACUGAGGUGCGAAAGCGUGGGGAGCAAAC
rnacentral:rRNA from 1 species